AGAAAGUUGGUUCGCUUACUAAACAUGGACCACACGCUGACUACCGAUGGCUGGCAGUAAAGGAAACUGGCAUGGAGCUCAGGUCCCAGGGAGGGCAAGGAGGAAAACACCCAGGAGCCAGAGAGAAGACAGAGGAGCCAGGGGAGCUGUGGGUGAAGAUGCACACGGUGAAGCGGGCGGCCAGCUGAGGCCUCCCAGGGAAGACGGCCUGAGCAAAGCUGUGAGGGAAGCUGACGAGCCUUGCAGCCUCGAUUUCUCUGGGGACUGUGUUGACAACAGUGAAGGGAGACAAAGAUGGAAGCAGAAGACCCACUGUGAAGACUUGGUGACAACCAGCUGUCAGCGGAGCCAAACGCCGCCGGGAGAACUGGACCAGCCUGCUCAGGAAACUGGCCUGGAAAGAAGGAGUCCAUUGUUUACCAGCUUGUUACUGUGGCUCUGGGCGCAUUAUGGAUCCAAGCAGGUGACACGGAGCAUGGAGCUGCAGCCAAGAGAAGGUUUCAGAAAGCGAAGAGACCUGCACAUUUAGAGUGCUGUGACUCAGUGGGAAGGCUGUCCGCCUCUUCAGAGCCUUCCUGCCCCUGGAGGACCCGCCGAGUCCCACGCGCCCCUGGAAAGGCUCUUUGUACCGCUGCUGAGGUCUGGGAAAAUAUGCGCCUCCAUACAUACGGCUGGGUAUGGUUUCAUGGAGCUCUGCUUUCUCUUCAACAAUAUGAACACGUGCACUCAUUUGUUUAUUUGCUUAUUUGUUAUAAAAUAAGGACUUGUGAUUUCUGUCAAGACUGUGCUUGGCAAAGGAGCUAGAAGGAACAAUGAAACUGUCUUGGAGGGCAGAGGGCAGAUUUUAAACUCCAUUUUACUUCCCAUCACACAUAGGAGGUACUCAGGAAGUACUUGCAGAGCUGGCCCGGCUUGGCUACUCUCCUUCAUGGAGCUGUGUUAGUCAGCUUUGCCACAAGGCUGGUAUGUGACAAACCGCCCGAUACUGAGCAGCUUACGGUUACCAGUGCUGUUCCUCGCUCAUGGGUUUCAGGCUUGGUGGGUGGCACGGUGCAGGUGCACGUUGGGGGGCAUUGGCUCAGGUUGGCCUGCUCAGCUGCCUCAUUCCGGGGGCCAGGCUGAAACCUCUGCCUGGUUGCUCUUCUCCCAGUAAACGAGCACGUGAGCAGAAAGAAUGUGAUGAAAGAGAUGCUGCCUUGAGAUCUCAGCCCAGAACUGCCGUCCGUCACUUCCACCACCUUCGUUGGCUCACAAUGAGUCAGUGGUCAAGCCCAUUAUCACUGGGCAGGGAUGUAUAUUUGUUGCCUCUUGUGUGAUGCCCUACAGACUCUAAUGGCAAAGGGUACAAUGCUCACGCAAGGAGAGCAUGAAGACUGGAGCUUCAGAGAUGGACUUGAUUUCAAAUUUGAGUUAUUCUCUACCUGAUUUGGGACUGGAGAAAUCACUUAACCCUUUAGAAUCUCUUUCUUUCUCAUAUAUCAGGUGCUUACAAUAUGCCUUUCACUGAGCUUAGCAUUUUAUGAAGAUUGCUAUAGGGAGGUAAAGUAGGGGUUCAGCCCCAUUUAAUGAAUGAGGAAACUGAGGCUGAGUGAGGUAAGUGGCUUGCCCAGAGUUCUAUCUGCCACCUCUACUUAACUGAAAGAGGGUGUGUGUGCUGUCUGCCACUCUCAGGGAGCUUGUUUCAGGUGAAUUUCUGUCUUUUCUCCCCUUAAAGAGUCCUGGAAACUCUCAGGUCUCUGGACUUUCAUUUUCUGAUGAACUUUACCCCGUGGAUAACCCGCUGAUGUGGCUGGCUACCACCACCCAAGUUUCAAAGUUCAUUGUUGGUAAAGAAAAAAGUCGGGGCUAUUAUUAGCCGCAAUUGGAGGGUGAUCGCACUUCCCAGUCACGAGUCUUCAGGAAGAAGGACACUUGAAUCAAAGCCUGGGUGGUGGUGGUGGGGCAGCGUGUGUGGGCCAGAGGCAGGUUUUGUAAUUGUCAUGCCUGUCGGGCGAGGCUGGGGCCUCUGCUGCCAGAUCGCUUUCCUCUCUGGAGCCAGCUGCUCUGACACCUCUGGGGAAGGACAGCUGGCAGCUUUUUGCUAGACUUUACUCACAAGGCAUGGAAGAUACUAGUAAGAGCAAAUCUUGGAUCCAACAGAUCUGAUUUGAAUCAAGCCUGUGCCUGAUUGGCUGGGUGGCCUUGCCCCCUGCAGUGCUGUCCCCUGUGCCUGCAGUGCCCCUCCUUCUCUGGGCCACUCUUCACCUGAAUGUCCCCUCAUCCCAGAGGUCUUCCCUGACCCUCUCACGCCCUGUGCUCCCUUAAUAGCCCGGCCCACCCACGCCCUGCGCCGAGGUUAUCCUGAUGACUCACUUAUUCAGCUCUGCUGCUAGGAGACAUGCUCUGUGAGGGCAAGCCUGACCCCGACAUCCCACUCCCCAGUAUGGGCCUAGGGCACGGGAGGCAUGCUACGAACGUUUAUUUAAUGAAUUCAAUGACAAGUGACUAAAAGCAGGCAAUUGCUUUGCAACCUUUCUGUAGUGGAUUCAAUAUUGUCUAUGCCUUGGAAGCCACUUGGCUCUAAUCCUUGCUACUCAAGGUGUGGUCCUUGGACCUGCAUCCCCUGGGAAUUUCUAUGAAAAGCAGCAUCUGAGGCCCCACCCCAGACCUACUGGAUCAGAAGCUGCGUUUUAACCAGAUCUCAAGCCACCCACGUGCACACCGAAGUUUGAGAAGGAUCACAUCUAGCCGCAGGGUCCUUCCUGGGACCCUCAGAGACUGCCACAGAGUCUGAAGCCGGUUCUCUGAGAAGCAGCAGCCGGGCCAUUUUCAGUGGGCAGCCCCUGAGAAGGACUGCUUGCACAGCACUGCCACGUCGGCGUGGACGGGUGAUGACCUGUUGGCCAAGCAGUCGAUCGCCCGAGUCCUUCUAGUGACCAGCUGCAAGAACAUCUGGAUGCCCCGUGGUCGCCAAGGAGGUUUUCCGUUAACUCUCUGCAGCGGCAGGGGAUGGGCCAGUCCACGGUGUCGAAUCCUCACCCCUGGUCUGUGAGGCAGGUGUUAUAAUCUCCGCUUUACACGGGAGGAGGCCAAGGUCCAGAGAGGGUAAGGCGCUUGCCCACAGCCACACAGUUGGGAAGAGGCCCAGUGGGGAUGUUCCCUUCGUGCAAGGCUGGCUCUUGCAGGGAGGCUGCCCUUCUAAUGCGGACAGUUUACUCACUCCACAUUCCGUCCUAAGACCCUCUUCACACAGGACUAACUGCGGUCUCUGCACCCCGUGAACCGGCCCUUCUCCGUGCUCCUGACCUCAUCUCCUACUGUGUAUGCCCGUGGCUCCCUCUGUUUUAGCCUCUCUGGCCUCUUUCGGACCCUUGAACACACAAGCUGGUGCCCAGCCCAGGACCUCUGCUCUUCCUUCUGCCUGCGGGAUGUCUCCCCCCAUCUCCCCGUGUUUGCCUUCUCAUCAUUCAAGGCUCACUCAAACAUCCCUUCUUCCGGGGGCCUUUCCCUAAGCACCCGAGGGAAACACGUCCUGCCCUCUCCCCUCUCCACGCCCACAAUAGUCACUCUCAUUCCCAUUAUUUUAUUUUUUUCAUAGCACUCAGUUUAUCCAAAAUUGCCACGGGCGUUUGUUCAGAUGCCCCUCCACUGGCGUGGGAGCUCCUCGAGGGCAGGGUCCUUGUCUGGAUAGCUGCUGUGUCCCCAGCCCAGAACAGUGUCUGACACAUGGCAGGACUUAACGAGACUUGGCGAAGGUAUGAAUGUGGGACGGUGGGAUUGAAAGAAACGACACAGAGCGCAGAAGCCUGGGCUUUGCCCUCUGGUGGAUGUGGUUUGAGAUUCGAACUCACUUGCAUGACCUCUGGCAAUUCUCGCUUAGACCGUGAGCCUCAGUUCCCACACCUGUAAAAUGGGGAUAACGACCCAACUUGUGAGGUGAGGGGGUCACGUAAAACCAAAUGAGAGACAGAGCUGGGCAGAUUCAGAUGCUCAGUACACGUUAGGAAGCCCUCACACCCUCUCUGCCCCUCACAACCUGAGCCCUAACCGCAGCUGAACUGCUCACAGCUCUUCUGAGCGCACCGGCCUCUCCUCACCUCCCCAUCUCUGUUCAGGAGCUGCCUCCGUCUGCACUGCCCUUCCUUCGUCGUUGACUGCCUGCAAAGUACCCACUCAUCCUUCAAGACUCAGUACACUGUCCUGACCCUCCGAUAGCACCCCACCCGAACACCCAGGUAGAGCCCCCGGACACCUGGGGCACGAUUUGAGCCUUGGAUGGGGGGCCUCACCGCCUCUGGCAGGUGAGAAGCUGAGUCCUGACAUAAAUUCACUGGCUCUGUAGUCAUCUCAAUAAAGAAGUGUGUCAGCAUCACCAGGGAGCACCCUUGACUUUGCCUCUGCCCUUGAUCUGGCCCCCGGGGCAGGAAAUGGCGCUUUCUUACCGCAGGCACUGGUGUGGCUCAGCCCAGCAGCAGGAGACAUCUGAUAAGCUUCCGUUUCUUCUUUGAUUGUCUGGGUCUCAAGUGAAAAUGAAAAUGUUAGCAAUGGCAGGCACGACUUUCUGAACUCCUUUCUGCUUUUCUCUGCCUGAGGCAGGUAUAAAAAGGAAAAAGGUGCACAGAGAGGGGUGAGGGAACCCUCUUCCUCCCUCCUGUCUGAAUAUGCAAAAGCCUCAGAUCGGCUGCUGACCUGGGGAAGCCACCCGUUCCUGGACUCAGUGCGUCUGAUUCCUGCCUUUUAGGAGAGGAGGCCUGGGUUCCCUGGGCCGUGGCAGUGUUGAAUUGCCCUGUCCUGUCCACGUCAUCUCUCUGUGGAGUGUGCGUGCGGUGCAGGCCUGCUCCACUCCAGGCUGUGGGCCUCCGAUGCCAGUCGUGGGUAAGUCAGGCUGUGGAGGCAGGAUUUGGAGACUCAUCUCUGGCUGUGGUCUGGUUCGGAACAGACCUGCUCUGCAGUGGCGUGGGCUGGGGCACGUCCUGAAGCGCUGCGUCGACGGUCCAGUCGAGGCUAGCGGAGGGGCAGGGAGUUGGACCUAACAGCUCCCGAAGGCCUGCUCCGGAGCAGACACUUGGUGUCCGUGACCUCCAGUGUUCACACUGCCUGUGUUCUGCUGUGCACUCGACAGAGGAGGGAGCUGAGGCCCAGAGGCGGUAAUUGACCCAGGCUGCCCACUGGGGAGGCUGCAAGUGCAGAGCCAGGAGCUCUCGAUUAGAUGCUGAGUGCCUUGGUGGAAAGGUGACAGCUCACAUUCCCUGAUGAGUGGCAGGACUGGGAUCCAGACUCCAUCUCCCUCAUUCCCAAACUGUAAGCUGCUUGCUCACCCUACAGCGCCAACGCCCUCUUUGUAAGAACUGAGGAGGUAGCCUGCCCGAGGUCACGCAGAGAAUUAGAGGCUGUGCUACACGCGGGGUCUCUCCCUGAGACCACACGGCCUCUCUUUGCUCUCAUCGCCGUGGGAGAGGGCUUCCAGAGAACCACCUCAAGGCCGACUGCUGAUCCCGGGAGACCCCGGCUUCCUCUGGAGCCCAGUGAGUCACUGUGGGGAGGCUCCAGGCCCCUCCUUUGAAGCCCUGCUUCUGUGUUUAGCCUGAUCUGCCUCCAGGGGCAAGAGGAUGAAGCGGAGGAUUGCCUCGGGCCACUUCUGUCACUUGCUUGCCAAUCUAUGCUGUUUUCCUUUUGCCAGAGGGUCUUCAUAGCUGGGCCAAAACCCAUGAGAUGGACACUGGAGGAAAAGAGAGAUUACUUACAACUCAAGCUGCAGAAAAGGAGCAGGCAAGGGGAUGGGAUGCCUUCCCCAGAAAGCAAGACUGAAUAGCGCGUACAGUCUCUGGAUCAGAGUCCAAGUCUUGGAAAGAUUCUCAGAGGGCCUCAGUGAUUCCAGCUUCAUAGCUGGAGUCAGGUCAGGGCUCCAAUCUCGCUCAGCCUCUUCCCCCUACGUACGUUAUACCUGCAGUGUAACAAGGACACUGACUUAGGAUUGUUGUGAUUUUAAAAUGAGACAAUAUGCAUCAUACGCCUGGUCCAGAACAGGCAAGAAAUAAAGAAAGAGCAAGGUGUGUGUGUGUGCGUGUAUUUUCCCCCUUAUCUCCUCAUUUUAUAGACAAAGAGACGAGAACCAGAGACCAGCUGUGAUGUCCACAGACACAUGGGAGUCCAUGCUGGAGCCGGGAGGUGGACCCUUGCCCCACCCUCCCAGGCCAGCGUUCUUUAUUUCACAUCACAAUAUUAAGGAUGAAAUUUUUAACCACAUCCCUAAUUUCUAGGCCUUGGAAGCAUAAAAAAGAUGAUUCUCAGCAUAUGGGGAAUACACCAAAAUAAAAUUAUUCUUUGACUAUUCUGGCAUCUAAAAAGCCUUUGAAGCGGCACUCCUUGUGUGGUCAGGAGAGCAGGCAUGUGGCUGGCCUGGAUCCUUUUCACUCAGGGAUGGUUGAACAGUGCCGUCCGGGCGCCCACCCCAGUCCCAAGACCGAAGGAUCUCGGGCAGGUGUGGUCCGAGAAAAAGUCGAGGUCAGGACAUGUGCACAUUGUGUAUGGGUCCCUGGAGCCAGCUAGCCAAACUUUAUCUGUGAGAUAAGGACUGUGAAUGUACCAUGUAAUUUUGUUCUUAUAAUAAAGGAAUAGUCCAGAAAUAACCUUAUCCCUUACGGCAUAAGGCCUUUUCGCUGGUUUCUGAGACCACCUGAGAGAAUGAGCCUUUUACCAACACACUGAUGAUUUAUAUCACAUCACAAUGUAAGGAUGCAAUUUGUUAACCGUAUCCCUAAAUUGAUCAUCUCAGGGAAUUGGUGUUCAUAAUUAGGAGUUGGAGCAGGGCCCCAGAUGCCUCUGGCAUCUUCCAAACCACCAGGGAAAGGCUUACACGCAGCUCCUGUUGGCUCACUGACUUUCUGGUCUUUGUUCAAAUGACACCUUCUCAGUGCAGCCUUCCCUGGCCACCCUAACUAACAGGCAGACCCCCCACCAACAUGCUCGAUCCCUAUCCCCUGAUUCAUUGUCCACCUUCACACUCCGCAUCUUGCAAUACACUAUAUAUCUACUUACUUUGUUAUUACCUACGUUCCCUUACUAUUUAUUUAAUGAUACUCAUUUGUAAAUGCUCGACAAAUAUCAGCUCAUUCAGACCUCAUAACAACUUUAAACGGAGGUGGUAUUAUUUGCCCCUCUAUACAGAUGAGGAAACUGAGACACAGAGAGGUUAGGUAAUGUGUUGAAGGUCACACAGCUCACAAGUGGCUGAGUUAAGAUGUGGUCCCAGGAGUCUGGCUCCCAAGUCCUUGCUCACGCCCAUCACACUGUCCCUCUCAUAGGAUGUGAAUUACGCAAGGGCAGGGGUUCGCCUAUUUGGCUGGAAAUACCUGGCACAUCACAGCAUCAAGUAAUUAUUUGUUGAAUGAAUGAAUGAAUGUUUAAAUGGGGCUUAUACCAUUCCAUUGCUUUGAAAGCCCUUCAUUUAUAGAUACUAUGCUUAGACAGCCACUCCUUGAAGCAAAUCUCUGGAUUAUAGGAAGGCAGUGGGGCAGGUGGACAGGGCGUGGGGCUCUAGUGUCAGAAAAGAAUGGGGAUCAGAAUCCUAACUCGGUCAGUCACACACAAUAUUUCAUGAGCUACAUGACCUUAACAAGUUCAUCUAACCUCUCUAGCCUUGGUUGCUUCAGCCUUGGAGAAAAUCGUGGGCUCCUUGGAGGGUUAGGCAUUAGAUGAAAGUCCAGUGUAGAUAAAGCACGGGCCCAGAGCAGGUCCUCAGGAAAUGCCAGUUCCCUUCUCAUGGGGAAGGCAGGGAUGAAAGAUACAGGGACUCCAUCUUCCUUUUGCUGAGCAAGCUCUGAUUUUUUCGGAAUGAAUAUAUUAGGGUGAAAGUAUGGGGCUAGCAAAGGGGACCAGGAGAUGGGAAAUGUCACUUUUCCCUUGGACAGCAGUUAAGGCUGGAACAACUCUAGUCAAUUCAGCAAUAUAUUUCUUUUGAUUCUCACCUAACACCAAAUUGAUGCCACUUUUUCUCCUUUGUUUCAUUAAAUUCCGUCGCCUUAACGUGAAACACCGCCUCUUCAGACGUGGUCCCACCGUAGCAGUGAGCAGGCAGGAGUGUCAUCGCCCUCCCGGAAACCAAGCCCGCUUUGGAUUGUAGAGAACAGACCGCACAUCUGACACGCGAGUUUCCCAAUUCCUCCCGAUUUGUAGACUGAGUUUGUAAAACUCUAAAUAUUUGUCUGACUUUUAAGACUGUUUUCUUCAAGUCUCAGUCGGAGACUCUGCAGGGAAACGCCUAGAGCCCCGGGCUGGCGCUGGGCUGGGAGCUGGUGCCCGGAAGUCGCUCCUGCUUCCUGGGUUUGGUGAGUGCCUCCACAUCAGAUUGCCCUGGAAACCUCCACGAGCCGCCAUCAGACAGAUGGGUCUCCUUCUGCAUGGGGAGGGCUGAGGCCCAGGACCUCCAGCACAUGUCCCAUCCUCUUUGCUGGACCCUUCUGCUGCUUGUGGUAUGACCAUGGCACAGUGGCCACGUGGGAUUAAUUCCAAACCUCUGACCUGGCUUUGCGCAUGCCGUUCCUUCUUCUUAGACUCUCCUUCCCUCACCUCCUCUGAACUCAGGGCUCUCCAACUUCAUCCUCAGGACUCAGUGUGGUUGCUCCUCUGGGACGAGGCUCUAAGGGGGCAGUGGCUGUCGGCUCUGUGCUCAUUUCUAGCAUCAGCCCCUUUCUUGUCAUCUUUACAUGUCCCUGUUUCUCAUCUGGGAACUCCUUCAGAGCAGGGCGUUGUUGUGCAUUUAAAGAUCUUUAGGCCUGACAUAGGGCCCAGUCUGCGGCUGGUACUCAGUGAAAGAAGGACUUCAAGAGGAGUCCUGAAUUUUAAACUUUUUGCUCAAAUGAACAGGGCGCUGGGACCUUCACAGAAAGAGUGUAGGAUGAGGGGGUGCAUGGACUGCUGUUUAGGAGACCCCUCGGGCUGAUCUGGGUCAGCCCCCAUUAUUCUGCAUCUGAGAAAGUGGGAGCUUAGUGACAUCCCAGCUGCAUGUGUUGCUGGCAGAGCCGAGGUCUCCCCACUCUCGGUCCAGUGCCCAAUCUGUGAUCUCAGGAUGUCCCUCGUCCUCAUGAGAAUGAGCUGCAGCAAAGACAUGGCUGGUGGAGUGGAGAAAGGCAUCCAGGGACAAGAUACUGGGAGUGACAAAAGUCCCUGGAGUGUGGCUUGCCAUCUUGGCAGCAGGCUGCCUGGCAGACUGGAGGAUGCCAAUGAGAAGAAAGCCUCGGGAGUGCCAUGGCAGGAGCUCUGGGUUGCAGACUUGGGCUUCUCAGGCCAGACCCGCUGGCCCGAGUCAGCUCAGGAACCAGGGAAAAGUGCCACAGAGCCGUCCCCAAACCAAAGGCUUCAGGCUCCUUGCAGUUGGGCAUCUGGCCAGAUGUUAAGAAAAGGGGACAUUGCAAAGAACUCUAGCAGGAGGAAGUGGUUUGAGUUUCCUGCUUGAAGGAGGAUGCUUCAUUUAAAUAGAAUUCGGUAGAAUUAAGUAGAAGGGGGAAGUCUCUCAAGCCCUCUGCUUGGACUUGGAAGUCUGCUUCUUGCAGAGAAAGAGGAUUCAGAAAUGGCUUCCCAGGGAACCAGAUUUUACCCCAAAUUCUCAAUCGGGGUGGGGAUGGAUAUAACAGAAAACGUUUCCAUCUACUGAGCCCCUGUUCUGUGUUGGGUACUUCUCUCAGUUAGUGCUUCUCCCCAAAUCCUCGUGGAAACUCAGGUUCCCAGAGGGGAAGUGAUUUGCCGCAGAAGACACAGCAAGGCAGGCUGGCACUCGGACCCACCCCCGGCUGACCACCUCGCCACGUCGGCUCCCAAAGCCGGCUGGCCUCCCUGGGCCUGCGGGCCUCAGUCUGAGUGAGCUUCUCUCGUCUGUGAGCUGACAGUCACCAGGCCAGGCCCCUCCCUGCUUUGCAAAGCUCAGUUUUGCACAGCUAACCUCUUCAGUAGACCUCAGGGAGGUUCGACUGUGAAGGCCUGAGGACAGGGUCUGGGGUGCAUCACCUCUGUCUUCCCUGCACUGGCCCAAGGGUCUGGACCCAGUAGACGCACGGAAACAAUGGUCCCCGUGCCAGGAUCUUCUGUGUGGUAGCUCACUUCAUUCCCACACUGAGCCGGGGCCUGGGUUUGUCAUGCCCAUGUCUGAGAUGGGAAAACAGACUCAGGAAGAGAAGUAAUUUUCUCAGGAUAUGUUGCUGGAUUGUCUUUUAAAAAUAAAGGUAUUCCCUGAGUAUGGUAUAAGUAAGAUGUUUUAGGACACUUCUCUGCAAGAAGUAUCAUAUUUACUUGUAUUUCUAAAUCAAAUAAAUUUGGCUUGCCACGCCCGCCUGCAUUUGGCAGGAAAUUCCGUCUCAGCGUGUGGGGUGGAGGUCGCCCCGAAUGCGGGAGUUUAUACGGAAUGGUGUUUAGACAAGAGUCUGCCUCUGGCCUUCAGCUCCAAGACGUUCCAAUCACAGGGCGAUGCUAAUCAAGCGACGCUUUGGAGCCACUUCCCAGAGUGGCCUGGGAACGCCCCCGCAGGUCAGGUGCUGUUCGAAGAGUUGGCACGGUGUGAGAUUUUUAACCUCAGUGGGUGACGAUGGCCACCUUCUUCCCCCCUCCCCCCAUCACACAUCCCCUGUUGGGUAAGUUGUAUUGGCCGUGGGCGUUUUAUAUUUGUAAUGUUCUUUUCUUAAAGAAAGCUCCUCAAAAUGCAUAUAUUCACGUCUGACAAAACCUAGAUGUGCUCCUGCCUGCUUCGUUCAUGGUGGCAGUCCCUCCACACGUGCCCUGGGCUGCCUUCCUGGUGGCCCUGGAGCCGUGGCUCUUUCUGUGAAAUUUUCGGCUUUUCCUCUUACCCUUUCAGAGGUUCCACCCUCCUGGAUGGGGGUGCUAUGUGGGAAUGGGAUACUGGUCCCCCAUUUUGGAAACAGCAGCUUCCAUAGUUUAUUUUGCCAUCUUGGAGAAGCCUUGCCAAGGUUAGGCCAUUCCCCAUUUUCAAGCACAGAGGAAAGGGUACAGAGGCCUUUGCACACACAAUGUCACAGUCAAGGUCAGAGCAUCACAGUCAAGGUCACAGGGUCACAGUCAAAGUCAGAGUAUCACUGUCAAGGUCAGAGGAAAGGGUACAGAGGUCUUUGCCCACACAGGGUCACUGUCAAGGUCUGAGUGUCACAGUCAAGGUCACAGGGUCACAGUUAAGGUCACAGUGCCACCGUCAAGGUCACAGGGUCACAGUCAAGGUCAGAGGGAAGGCCAGCAGUGAGACAGCAGCAGGUUGGAUGUGGCUGUCUUCAUUCUCUUAGAUGAAGUUCAAGGCAAAGGUCUCUGACAGUCCUUGGAAGAGAAUGUCCAGCUUGUUUUCCCGCCCAGAGCCUAGUAAACAGGACAACUGGAAUCUGUGGUGGCCUCAGGACACAUGGACUGCAGCCUGGCUGACCGUGGGAGAGAAGGCAGUGUGGAAAUGGCUGACAUUAGGACCCACCCUGGCCUCUGCACUUGAUCCCCAAGGAAACGCCUCUUCUGGGACAACAUGUCUCAGGGACUUGGAAUCUGUAUCUUGGGUCAGAAAAUAUGCACAGCCUUUGACCCAACGAUUCCACUUCUAGGAACGCAAUAAGAAGGAAUAGUUGCUGAUGUGUGCAAAGAUAUAUGUCCAAGGGUGUUCAACGUAAUGUUGUUUGUAAUAGAGAAAAAGUGGAAGCAACUCAAAUAUCCAGCAAUGGUGGUAUGCCAGGAAACUUGUGUUGCUACAGUACAUCUAUAUGAUGGAAAAAUAUUAGCCAUUAAUAAUCAUGUGGUAAAGGAAUGUGUAUUGAUAUGGAAUUUUCAGAAUAUUUUGCCAAAUGAAAAAAGGCUAUCAAACAGCAUGUACUGCCUGUUCUUACUUAAUUAUAUAAUUACAUACUACGCUGAGGUUAACUGAACACUUACUGGAUGCCAGGCAUGGCUCUAAGCAUUUAAAAUACAGUCAUACAUUUCAUCGUGCAACGUCUAUGAAGAAGAUAUUUUUAUUAUCUAUAUAUUACACAUAAGGCACCUGAGACACAGAGCGUUUAAGUAAUUCACCCAAGGUCACACAGUACUAAGUGGCAGAACCUGAAUGUGACUAAGGCAGCUGGGGUCCGGAGCCAUGCCUAAACCACUAAGCUGGCCCUGCUCUCUCUUCCUGUGUGUGUGCAUGUUUGUAUAGUUUUCUCUCUCUUUCUCAGAGGCUUUACACCAAAAUGCUAGCUGUGUCUUCAGUCAUCCCCUCCUCAAACAAGAUACAGCAGAUGUUUCCAUGAUGAGAGGGGAUGCUGCAGCUACUGCGGCACUGGGGGACAUCUGCGCCUCGAGCACAGAGACUACGCCACGUGCCUGUGUGGACUCCACAUGGGCACGUCCCCAAUUCACCGAUUCAGCAAACAGUGACUAGGCACCCAUUCUGUGCAGGCCUUGUUCUAUGUUUUGAGGAUUCAACAGUGAACAGGGAAGGCACACGGGACAAUUCUCCCAUAAAACUGACAUCCCAGUGGGGAGGCAGAGAGGUGACCAGUAAGUAAACAGCCAAGAAAAACACCAGCUGGAGAUCAGUGUUGUUGGGAUCUGCAAUUAGAAGAGUAUGAGAGAGUGGGACCACAGCUACAGGGGUUAAAUGGCCAGGAAAGGGGACUUUUUAGAGGUGGCAUCUCAGCUGAGACUUGAAUGACCAGAAGAAACAAGAUAUUUGUCUAUAUCCGUAAUGUAUCUAUGUCUAUCUCUAUCUACCUAUCUACCUACCUACCUAUCUAUCAUCUAUCUGUCCAU